rnacentral:tRNA from 2 species
GCGCUCGUAGCUCAACUGGAUAGAGUACUUGACUACGAAUCAAGCGGUUAGAGGUUCGAAUCCUCUCGGGCGCGCCA